GGGCCCGCACAAGCGGUGGAUUAUGUGGUUUAAUUCGAAGCAACGCGAAGAACCUUACCAGGACUUGACAUCCUGCUAACGAAGCAGAGAUGCAUUAGGUGCCCUUCGGGGAAAGCAGAGACAGGUGGUGCAUGGUUGUCGUCAGCUCGUGUCGUGAGAUGUUGGGUUAAGUCCCGCAACGAGCGCAACCCUUAUUGUUAGUUGCUACGCAAGAGCACUCUAGCGAGACUGCCGUUGACAAAACGGAGGAAGGUGGGGACGACGUCAAAUCAUCAUGCCCCUUAUGUCCUGGGCCACACACGUAAUACAAUGGCGGUAAACAGAGGGAUGCGAAGCCGUGAGGUGAAGCGAACCCCUAAAAGCCGUCUCAGUUCGGAUUGCAGGCUGCAACUCGCCUGCAUGAAGUCGGAAUCGCUAGUAAUCGCGGAUCAGCAUGCCGCGGUGAAUACGUUCCCGGGCCUU
rnacentral:rRNA from 1 species